GACGAACGCUGGCGGCGUGCUUAACACAUGCAAGUCGAACGGAAAGGCCCUGCUUUUGUUGGGUGCUCGAUUGGGGAACGGGUGAGUAACACAUGAGUAACCUGCCCUUGACUUUGUGAUAACUUCAGGGAACUGGGGCUAAUACCGGAGAGAAGCUCCUGCUGCAUGGGGGGGGUUGGAAAGUUUCGGCGGUGGGGGAUGGACUCGCGGCUUAUCAGCUUGUUGGUGGGGUAGGGGCUUACCAAGGCUUUGACGGGUAGCCGGCCUGAGAGGGUGACCGGCCACAUUAGGACUGAGAUACGGCCCAGACUCCUACGGGAGGCAGCAGUGGGGAAUAUUGCACAACGGGCGGAAGCCUGAUGCAGCAACGCCGCGUGCGGAAUGACGGCCUUCGGGUUGUAAACCGCUUUCGCCUGUGACGAAGCGUGAGUGACGGUAAUGGGUAAAGAAGCACCGGCUAACUACGUG
rnacentral:rRNA from 1 species